GACGAACGCUGGCGGCGUGCUUAACACAUGCAAGUCGAACGAUGAAGCUAGAGCUUGCUCUGGUGAAUUAGUGGCGAACGGGUGAGUAACACGUGAGUAACCUGCCCCGAACUCUGGGAUAACUGCUGGAAACGGUAGCUAAUACUGGAUACGACCUACGAAGGCAUCUUCUGUAGGUGGAAAGAAUUUCGGUUCGGGAUGGACUCGCGGCCUAUCAGCUUGUUGGUGAGGUAAUGGCUCACCAAGGCGACGACGGGUAGCCGGCCUGAGAGGGUACCCGGCCACACUGGGACUGAGACACGGCCCAGACUCCUACGGGAGGCAGCAGUGGGGAAUAUUGCACAAUGGGCGCAAGCCUGAUGCAGCAACGCCGCGUGAGGGAUGACGGCCUUCGGGUUGUAAACCUCUUUUAGUAGGGAAGAAGCGAAAGUGACGGUACCUGCAGAAAAAGCACCGGCUAACUACGUGCCAGCCGCCGCGGUAA
rnacentral:rRNA from 1 species